AUUGAACGCUGGCGGCAGGCUUAACACGUGCAAGUCGAGCGGAGAUGAGGUGCUUGCACCUUAUCUUAGCGGCGGACGGGUGAGUAAUGCUUAGGAAUCUGCCUAUUAGUGGGGGACAACAUUCCGAAAGGAAUGCUAAUACCGCAUACGUCCUACGGGAGAAAGCAGAGGAUCUUCGGACCUUGCGCUAAUAGAUGAGCCUAAGUCGGAUUAGCUAGUUGGUGGGGUAAAGGCCUACCAAGGCGACGAUCUGUAGCGGGUCUGAGAGGAUGGUCCGCCACACUGGGACUGAGACACGGCCCAGACUCCUACGGGAGGCAGCAGUGGGGAAUAUUGGACAAUGGGGGGAACCCUGAUCCAGCCAUGCCGCGUGUGUGAAGAAGGCCUUAUGGUUGUAAAGCACUUUAAGCGAGGAGGAGGCUACUGAGACUAAUACUCUUGGAUAGUGGACGUUACUCGCAGAAUAAGCACCGGCUAACUCUGUGCCAGCCGCCGCGGUAACAC
rnacentral:rRNA from 1 species